AGCUGUCAGAGAGUCCCUCUCCAGUUACCUGCCCUGUUUUCUUCUCUUCUGUGCUGAGAACCAGUGGCUGUUGGACAGCAGCUAAGAGCCCAACACAUGUGCUCUUCUGAGAACCAGGGAACGCAAUGCAUUGGGAUUACUUUAUUGGCCACUCUUAAGUCUUUUUAAGUGUGAUUCUAGGGCUGCAAGGAGAUGAAGAUAUCAACAAGUGAGGAGAAGGUUGGUAUUAUACACAUGAUGGGCUGGCCAAUGUGAACCUUGCCCACUGUGCCCUGGGGCUUCCCAAUGGUGAUCCAUAUACCUCUCUGAAGCCUGGACUGGUGACAAGAUGAGAUAAGCGACAAGACUAUUCACCAGAAAGUUCAGUCCCCAAGGUCUCUUAGAGAAACCCCUAUAUAAAACCUCCCAAGAAGCCUACUGUUUGCAGCCACGGCACAGCACGCUCCACGGGGAAAGGGACUUAGUUUAAUUGGAUACAGAUUUUUUUAAAAGGUAAUUGCUAUCUUUCAAUAACAUUUGAACUAUUGAUCCAAAAGAUACUUUUAUACACCAGUAUCCCUGUGGGUAACUGUUACAGAAUUAAAUCUAACAAUUGCGAUGCCA
ensembl:antisense Gm15239 predicted gene 15239